UGGCUCAGAACGAACGCUGGCGGCGUGCUUAACACAUGCAAGUCGAACGGAAAGGCCCCUUCGGGGGUGCUCGAGUGGCGAACGGGUGAGUAACACGUGGGUGAUCUGCCCUGCACUUUGGGAUAAGCCUGGGAAACCGGGUCUAAUACCGGAUAGGACUACGCGAUGCAUGUCGUGUGGUGGAAAGCUUUUGCGGUGUGGGAUGGGCCCGCGGCCUAUCAGCUUGUUGGUGGGGUGAUGGCCUACCAAGGCGACGACGGGUAGCCGGCCUGAGAGGGUGUCCGGCCACACUGGGACUGAGAUACGGCCCAGACUCCUACGGGAGGCAGCAGUGG
rnacentral:rRNA from 1 species